UGUACCUACUUCAUUUACGCAACGUGUUAAGUGGAUUAUUGUUCAAAAUACUCGCUAAUCGCUCCCCGCUGACAGACGCCGGCGCAAAACAUAACCGUUUAUUAUUUUGUUUCAUUUAUUUUGCAAACCAUAUCGUGGGUGUUGAUUUAUUUUAAUAUCCGCCAGUCGUAGAAGUUUAGAGGUGCUAGUGAUGGGGAGUUUUAGCCUCGGCAGGAGUGACACUGGGAUUUGCUGGGGUUUCAUCCGUCAGCUUAGCUCGACUCUCCACACACAAGAAGAUGAGGAGGACGACAGCCAAGCGCACCCCUUGCCUUACCGACGCCAUCUUUUAAAACUUUAAAAGCGCGGGAAAGCUGUCGAUGCGUAAUGGCGGCUUCCAGGCUACUGGAGACGGCGAGUCGUCGGCGUUAUUUUUAGAUUUUAUUUUGAUUUUAUCGAACACGCAGCAUUAGCGGAUACAAGUGUG